rnacentral:pre_miRNA from 7 species
UUUCGGAGUUCCUGGGUGUCACGCAGAUCUCGGUGGAACCUCCAAAUGAAAGAACCUAGUGGGGAAACCCCCUCUCAAUUCUUGAUUUGGUGUGCACCCAAAGAAUCACGAAAAGAACG